ensembl:lncRNA
AACAUUAAAAAUCCUAUAUAUGUCAAUAUCAGAUAAAAAAUAAUGAAAAGAUCACCUAUCAUUUUAUGGAUCUAACGUUAACAUUAGAUUUUUUUCUCGAUUGGGGGAAGAUUGAAGAGCUGCACCAAUCUAACGUUGCUCACUAGGUAAAAUACUACCUAGCGUAAAUUAUUUAAUCAUAAACAGUUGCUGGAGAUAUUCACAAACAGAGACAGAAAUACCACAAAAUAAACCAUGACCAAUAACCCUAACGUUAGCUAUGAGACGUUACCUGAAACAACGCCCGACCGUGAAGGCAGCAGAGUGUGAGGGAGUUAGCCAUUAGCAAUGACGUCAGCUAUCAAGCUAACACGUUAGCGAGACCACUUUUAAACUAUGUUAUAUAGUUAAAUACUAAUGUAAUGCUAAGUGACACUGAGCAACAUGGCCUCCGACGGCAGUGCUCUUUCUCGCCAGUUAAUGAAUGUAGUGUGAGAAACGGGCCGCGCGCGCGCCGCAUGGGAACGCCGACGCACCGAUGCAGAACCCCUCCGCGCUGUUCGGGAUGCUCAGCCACUGUCAGACCCCGACGACCUUCGCCGACUUCCCCGGCCUGUCGCUCUCCGCGUUCGGCGGCAAGGCGGACGUCUGCCCCCCGCGCAGAGCCGGCGGCAGCGGGGGCUUCGGAUCGCUGGUCCGCCGGAGCCCCCACGACGGCCCGACGCACAUGAACUGCGCCGGCCAGAAGGCAGUCGGCGCGCCGGGGGAAAAGGCGCACCUGGCCGCCAUAGCGCCGCGGUCGUGCCUCUCUUUCCCAGCCGCGCAAGGAAGCUGCCACGGGGCAGAACCCAGUCAGCUCACUGCACCAUUGGCUGGCGUUGCCCCAGAGGACCAUGGAAGACAUUAUAAAGUCUAA